rnacentral:rRNA from 1 species
GAACGCUGGCGGCGUGCUUACACAUGCAAGUCGAACGCUGAAGGCUCAGCUUGCUGGGCUGGAUGAGUGGCGAACGGGUGAGUAACACGUGAGUAACCUGCCCUCUUCUUUGGGAUAACGGUCGGAAACGGCUGCUAAUACCGGGUAUUCACUGUCCUUCGCAUGGGGGGUGGUGGAAAGGUUUUUUCUGGUGGGGGAUGGGCUCGCGGCCUAUCAGCUUGUUGGUGGGGUGAUGGCUUACCAAGGCUUUGACGGGUAACCGGCCUGAGAGGGUGACCGGUCACAUUGGGACUGAGAUACGGCCCAGACUCCUACGGGAGGCAGCAGUGGGGAAUAUUGCACAAUGGGCGAAAGCCUGAUGCAGCGACGCCGCGUGAGGGAUGAAGGCCUUCGGGUUGUAAACCUCUUUCGCUCAUGGUCAAGCCGCAACUUUGGGUUGUGGUGAGGGUAGUGGGUAAAGAAGCACCGGCUAACUACGUGCCAGCAGCCGCGGUAAUACGUAGGGUGCGAGCGUUGUCCGGAAUUAUUGGGCGUAAAGGGCUUGUAGGCGGUUUGUCGCGUCUGCCGUGAAAUCCUCUGGCUUAACUGGGGGCGUGCGGUGGGUACGGGCAGACUUGAGUGCGGUAGGGGAGACUGGAACUCCUGGUGUAGCGGUGGAAUGCGCAGAUAUCAGGAAGAACACCGGUGGCGAAGGCGGGUCUCUGGGCCGUUACUGACGCUGAGGAGCGAAAGCGUGGGGAGCGAACAGGAUUAGAUACCCUGGUAGUCCACGCUGUAAACGUUGGGCACUAGGUGUGGGGGCCACCCGUGGUUUCUGCGCCGUAGCUAACGCUUUAAGUGCCC